rnacentral:rRNA from 1 species
GAUGAACGCUGGCGGCGUGCCUAAUACAUGCAAGUCGAGCGAACAGACGAGGAGCUUGCUCCUCUGACGUUAGCGGCGGACGGGUGAGUAACACGUGGAUAACCUACCUAUAAGACUGGGAUAACUUCGGGAAACCGGAGCUAAUACCGGAUAAUAUAUUGAACCGCAUGGUUCAAUAGUGAAAGACGGUUUUGCUGUCACUUAUAGAUGGAUCCGCGCCGCAUUAGCUAGUUGGUAAGGUAACGGCUUACCAAGGCAACGAUGCGUAGCCGACCUGAGAGGGUGAUCGGCCACACUGGAACUGAGACACGGUCCAGACUCCUACGGGAGGCAGCAGUAGGGAAUCUUCCGCAAUGGGCGAAAGCUUGACGGAGCAACGCCGCGUGAGUGAUGAAGGUCUUCGGAUCGUAAAACGCUGUUAUUAGGGAAGAACAAAUGUGUAAGUAACUAUGCACGUCUUGACGGGACCUAAUCAGAAAGCCACGGCUAACUACGU